UAAAACUCUGUCUCAAAAAAAAACAAAAAAGGAUGAAAUUUAAAUUCCCACCAAAAUAAUCGCAUUUCAUUUUAACAUGUAUUUUUCCUCUCUCUGUCACACAGGCCACCCUAGUCCACCCCCUGAAAGAAAGGAGCAGAGGAAAGUGGCCCAUUUAACAGGCAAGCCCAACUCAAGGUCCAUGCCUCUGGAAUGGGAAGACACCUAUGGAAUUGUCCUGCUUUCUGGAGUGAAGUAUAAGAAGGGUGGCCUUGUGAUCAAUGAAACUGGGGUGUAUUUUGUAUAUUCCAAAGUAUACUUUCGGGGUCAGUCUUGCAACAACCUACCCCUGAGCCACAAGGUCUACAUGAGGAACUCUAAGUAUCCCCAGGAUCUGGUGAUGAUGGAGGGGAAGAUGAUGAGCUACUGCACUGCUGGGCAGAUGUGGGCCCGCAGCAGCUACCUGGGGGCAGUGUUCAAUCUUACCAGUGCUGAUCGUUUAUAUGUAAAUGUAUCUGAGGUAUCUCUGGUCAAUUUUGAGGAAUCUCAGACAUUUUUUGGCUUAUAUAAGCUCUAAGAAAAGCACUUUGGGAUUCUUUCCAUUAUGAUUCUUUGUUACACGCACUGAGACUGUUGUAUUCAAUGAGGGCCUUCUUAUGCUCAUUUGAGGUCAAGUAAGAAGACAUGAACUAAGUGGACCUUGAGACCACAAGGUUCAAAAGACUCGCCCUGAAUUAGUUCUUGUGCGAGAUCCAAGAACCCUCUCCUGGGGUCUGGAUCUGACCCCUUUCCUGUGACAUAUUUCUGGUGACCACCGAAGGGACUGUAAUGCAAACGCCCUGACCCAACGGCUACCUUGGAACAAAAGAAGAGAAAACUGCUUUCCUGUGAGCCCCCUCUUGUGAAAAGACACUUCCUGGCAGCGUGCUGUGGUCUUGUCUGAAGGUAGGCUUUAGUUGCUUGAGGUUUCAAUAAUUUUCAUAACGAACAAGGGCUAUAAGUAGGUAAGCCUUAUUUACUUUUGGUAAAUAGAAAUUUGGGGAGAUAGAUGAUUCAUCUUGACAUGUUCUGCUGCCAUUUUACCAUAAUUGCAAGAGAUUAUACAGGAAAAUGAAAGCAGGGAGGAGCACUGGAGGAAUCAGCCAAAUACACAAGCCCUCUUCAUCUUAGAACACUCUAGUUAUAGCCAGUGGACAGAGAGAGGUUUUCAUUUAGCCAUACCACAAUGUGUACAUAUUUAAAAUUAUUAUGUUGUACAUGAUAGACCCAUUAGAUUCCCAAUUAAAAACCCAGUUAGAUUCCAAACAAUGUCUGCCAUAGAUAAAAGAUACUCCCAGGAACCUUGUCAUACUUUAGUAUGAUUGACGGUUGUUUAAAAUCUAUUCCUUUUCAAGAAAAAUAUAAUUCAAGCUAUUUGCUUGUUUGUAUACAGUGGUCAAUAGUUACUACAUUUUCUUGCUUAUAUAGAACAAUACAUUUACUUGCUUGUAUAUAGUGGUAAAUAGUUAUUAAAUAUAGAUGAUAGUGAAUUUGAAUGAAAUAGGGUUUUCUUGGCUGAGCAUAUAGACAUCUUAUUUAAUCAUGCCACUAAAUACGCAUGAAUCCAAAUGUGAAGUAUCUACAUUAUUCCCUGAGACUGUUUUGUUCUCCUCUGUGUGGAUCCAAAUACUAAGGCCAAGGAAAGGUCAUGUGCUGAAAUGGCCUGUGAUGUCCCUUUGAAAUCGAACAAUGAUGGUCCAGACGGCGUGACUUUCAUGAAGACAGCCUGUAUUGAGCAUGGAAGAGCUUAGACAGUGGGAUAGGACGCUUUGUUAAGGUUUUAUUUUUUGAGCUCAUGGAAGAUCAUCUCUGGUCAUCUCAGAAGUACAGAGUGCUGUAUGUGGUUCUUUUAUUGAUCUUCUGGAAAGAGAAGCAAACUGCCACACACCUUAAAUGGGAAUGUUGGAUAGCUACUCCAGCUAGAAGUCCGCAAGGGUCAGGUGUGUGUAUCGGUCAUGGAGGUUUUGUUGUGUCUAUAACUAAGUACCCAAAUUCAGUGUUAAAAAUAAGGUCCCCAGAUUUUUGAGCCUGCUUUUAAAUCUUUGAUCAACAUAUUUCUCUAGAGAGACAGAGAGCAAACUUAGCUGUCUCAUAUGUACCUGAAAAUGAACAUGUCUUAAACUAAAUUAUGGUCCUCAUCCUCUUCCCUACCACCUGCCCCACCCACCUUCCCUGUUCUAAAUCUCAGUAAAUGGUACUGUUCUCUACCCACGAGGCCAGGGAUCAGGGAUCACUUCUGAUUAUUCUCUCUCCUUUACUCCUCUCUCCAGCCCAUUAUCAAGUCUACCCCUGCUGCGCAUUCCAUCCACUCAGAUUCUUUCCCUUCCUGGUCCUUUCACUUACUUCCCUGCUCUUCCGGCCCUGCGCUUGGCCUCCAGGAAUCCAUUCUUCACCCUGCUAUUGGAGUAUUCUUUUAAGACCACACAUCUGAUUCUGCUGUUCAUUUCUUUACUUAAAACUCUUCCAGGGCUUCUCAUUGAGGUUAGCCCCAGUUGUUAACUUGGAUCACCCACUGAUGUGGCCUCUGGGUAUUUGCGCCACUACACUGACUCUUACCCCUCCAGCCUCAAUUGAAGCUGCUCACUUUCUGCUCCAGCUGUCUUCUGUGCGGACCUGAAUACUAGGACCAGUUUAAAGGUCAUGUGCUGAAAUGUGAAGGACUUGAAAUGUCCCUUCAUGUGCUGUCCCUUUACCUGACGCUCCUUCCCCCGAGUCACACACUCUUUGUUUAAAUAACUCCCACUUAUUAUUCAGGACUAAUUGUUCAAAUUAAAUAAGACUUUCUUCAAGAAGGCCUUCUCUGACUCCCCCAGACUCUGUAAGUUCCCCUAGUUGUACAUGUCCAGAGGCCCCAGUAUUCUUUGUAGCACUUUUGCAUAUUAGAAAUUUCUUCAUUAUGUAUAUUUAUGUAUUUAAUGUGUAUCUUCUCCACUUGAUGAUAAAGGAGAAUUCCCUUUUAUGUACUGCUGUGUACCUAGUACCCAGUGUUGUGCCUGGCACAUAAAGGCACCCAAAAAACAUUCUGUGACUAAUGCUGACUCCCUGGAUCAGGGUGAUUUUGCCAGCAGGUAGCAGAAUUCUCAGGCUCAAAUGUGCCUUUAACAGAAGGUUUGCAAUUCUUUCAUGUGUCAGAAAGUUCAGAGGUAGGGCAGGUUUCAGAGUAAGUAUUGAUUUAACAGUCCAAGGGGUUAUAGCAUUCCUCUUUCUACCAUGCCUGCUUCUUCUUGGGUCAAUUUCCCUGUGUGGUAAUUGGAAUAUUUGCAGUCUGCCUUGCUUCUCAGCAAGAGUGACUGGGAAGUGACAGUGGCCAUGGAUGCAUCAGAGGAAGGCAGACUUAGGGCUUCCUUAAGUGACGAGAUCCCAUGGAUUGGUCAUGGCAUAUCCUGCUUGCUGGUACUGCUCAUUCAGCAGGGGUUUCCAAGACCCCAAAGAGUUCAUGAAAACUAGCACUUAGGUAGUAUGCUUUAUUUAUUAAAUAAAGUAUUGACCAUCAUAUGCUCAGUUCAGUGAUUCUCUGAACUGGCAAAAGAACAAAAGACAGUGAAAGAAAAUGAGGGUGAGAACAAAAUUGACCCUCAGAUUGUCUUCAUUUUCCAAGGAUUCAAAUCGAAACACUUUCAAGCAAACUCUUUUCUAGGACAGCUAGGAGUGGACCUCUUUCACCUUUUCUGAAAAGAAAUGAAGGUUUCCUGAAUGUUUGGCUGUCUUAGUGAGUUCUAAAAUGCCACCGAAUUUUUAUUUUGAAAUGAUAUGGAGAUGUUUAGAUUCUGAAUAGAAACAAGCAGUACUUAACAUUUAUUGUCCCCUUUAGAUAAUAGGCCUGAAUUUACGUAUACUGAGUUAAAACCUCAUUCUCUAAUUAAGAAGAGCCAGGAUACUGUUUCUCUAUUUUCUAAAUACUGUGGGAACCAAUAGUUAACCUUCAGACUUUUGCUUGACAAAACAUUUAAACUUUUAAAAAUUACAUGCGAUGAGCAGAGAGAUCUCAACAAUAAAUAAGGUAUGAAUUGACUUGAGUGGCAAAAGUGUGGCAAGCACUGUGGCUAGGGCUUAAUUCACGGUGAUCGAAGAAGCCUCGGGCACUGACAGAUUAAAGUAAAUGAAGACCCUUGGUUGGUGGCUUCUGAGAAAAAUGUUUUCCUGGCCAGGGGUGUGAGAAUCAGGUUCCAAUGCGUCUGUAGGUAAUUCUCUCUGAUGGUCUUUUUUUUUUUUUUUUUUNUUUUUUGCUUAUAACUUGAUGAGACUGCAUUGCUGCUCUUUCUAACCUUUUAUUUUAUUGUUCUUAAAACAAUUUAGUGAUGUAAAGAUACUGGGGAAAUCUGUUCUCAAGUAAAACUUUUGUUUCCAAGUGGGAUAUAGGAGGUGGCGGUCACCUUGGGUACUCCCUGCUCUACCUAUUUCUGAGUGAGAAGACACCUGCUUCAGUUGGCAGGCUGAAAACAAACUAAACAGCUAGAGCUUCUCCCUUUGAUCUCUCCCAUAGUGUGGGAUUUCCUCACCUCACAUUUGCUGAGCAUUGAUUUCCACUGCAGAUAGAAGGUGUCUGAGUUUGUCACUGUUUCCCUCCACUGUUUGUCAACUUUUACUUUUUAUUUAAUCAGGCAACCCCAUGGGGGUGGAAUAUUAUUCAUUGUUCCAAGUAGCGCAUAAUCACAAACUUGAGGGUGUUUGCAGAUCUCGACAAUCUUGACAGAUCUUUAAUGCAUGAAAUUGUGUCUCUCUCUGGAGACUCCUCAGCUGUAGAUCUGAUGGGUGUUUUCCACGUUCACUUGGCAGGCUGAGCUGUCCUACUCUUCAUGAGGUUGGGAGAUGAGGUGUGGGGCUGCGGGGGAGAAGAGAUGAGAACAUUUCUUUUCUCUUUUCUGCUAACCUAUGCGUUUGUUUUUAAGAUGCUUGCAGAAUACCUAAGAGGAUAAUCUAGCUUUGAAGUCUGUACCUAACCUUCUCCCCAUACUUAACACCAUUGAUUCUGGAAUGACCUGGUGGGUAGGAUGGCUGAUUGGGAGCAACUUCUUCUUUAUCCCUUCUCUAUGUCCCUCCAGAACCUUCUGUCUCAACAGUAGGGGUUACAUUUUAUUAAUAAACGAGCUCCAUUCUGUUGUCAAGAGUAUUUAAGUAAUUUUCAAGUUGAAGAACACAAUAAAAUGAUCAGAAGAAAGCUAACCAAUUUCAAUUAGUAGAGGACUAUCCUUCUUUUACACAUCCCACUCAAACCUUUAAGAUCAAAAUCAUAGAGUAAAAUUGCUUUAUACAACUGAAAAACUAAAUUCCAUCUCAAAGAGGUUAAUAACUUUCAUGACAGAACCUGGUUUAUAAAGCGUGUAGGCUCCUCCUGUUCAUAUUCAUGCCAACAGCCAGAGUAAUGUUUCAGAAAACAUCAAUUAGAUUGUGCAACUCCCAGCAUUAACCCCUUUAUAACUUUCUGUUACUCUAAGGAUAAAAUCUAAACUCUUGACCAUGGCCUAUCUGGUCAGUGUGGUCUGGCCCCUUCCUACCUCCCCACCCUCAUCUCAUCCCACUUUCCCCAUUACCCACAGCGCUCCAGCUGCACUGGCCCUUUUGGUUCUGGGAACCACCACGCUCCAACCGCAGAGUCUUUGCACAUGCUAUUUCUCCUUCUUGAAAUGCUUCUCUUUACUUGUGAACUCCCUAUGUGGCUUGUUUGCUCUCGGGUAAUCUCAGAAAGGCCUUCUGCAAUCACGCUCACAAGAGCCCUCCCUACUAUUCUGUAUUACUACGUUUUGUUCAAUUACCUCAUGCAUUUAUGAAUAACUUUUGAUUAUCAAUGUGUUUAUUUGCUGUGUAUUAUCUGUCUCUCCCUAUUGGACUACAAAGUCUAUGCUUGUUCUUUAUUCUUCUCUUUUUUUUUCUAUUUUCAUUUUUUUUUUAAAGGUGAGCAGGUGAACUAGAAGAAACAAUUAUUUAAGUUACGGUAUAAUUUACAUAAAACAAGGAAUAUUUUAAAUUUUUGGUACUCGCCGUUCAUAAUAAAAUGUGGACUUGUUCCACCAUCCUUGAAAGUUCCCUCAUGGCCUUCUCCAGUCAAUCCUUCACCAAAGGUAACCAAUUUUGGACUUACAUCACUAUACAUCAGUUUUGCCUGUUCUUGGCUUCCUACUUUCAUUAUGUUGUAAUGUAUGUAAGAUUCAUUCAUGUUGUUGCGUGUAUCAGAAAUUCAUUUAUUUUUAUUGCUGAAUAGCUUUCCAUUGUAAGAGUAUACUAAAAAUUGUUUCUCUAUUUUCUGUUGAUGACAUCUGGGUCAUUUCCAGUUCUUUACUUUUAUGGAUAAAGUUGUUAUGAAUAUUCUUGUAAAACAAGUAUUUUAUGGGCAUAUGUAUUCAUUUUGGGGGGUUAUUUGCCUGGAAGUGGAAUUGCUGACUUAUGGGGUAGAUGCAUAUUUAACCUUACGAAAAAUGACCAAAAACGUUACCACGAGCGAGGGCUUAGCUUAAUUAAAGUGAUUGAUUUGCAUUCAAUUGAUGUAGAAUACAGUCUUGCAGUCCUUAAAGUUUAUUACAGAAAUAAAGGUACUUACUAAGAUAAGUAAAUUAUACUUUUAUUCAUUGAAAUAUACCUGAUUUUUUAUUUUGGGGGUUUGUUUUAUUUAUUGAAAUAUACCUGAUUUUUUACUCUAGGGCUUGACACAUGGUGGUUUUUUAUAAUCUCUCUGUUGAAUGAUUUAAUGCUCUUUUUAGCCUUCUGAUUUCUGGAGAGGCAUCAAUCAAUUAUUCAAGGAUGGAAUCUGUAUUGAGAAAUUAUGACUCUAAGGUAAAACUUAAGUCAUCGUUAUGAUAAACAGAUAUUAGCAGGAAAAAUACACAAGGUAAAUUUUGAAAUUAGGCCUCAGCUU